rfam:Metagenome sequence 3634298_fasta.screen.Contig6720, whole genome shotgun sequence.
UGACAGCGAAGCAAUUUGCUGUGAUCGCAAUGCAGAAAUCAGCAGAGGGCAUAGUAAAUGAGACUCUUGCUCAUUGAAGGCC